rnacentral:rRNA from 1 species
UACGAACCGUGCGAACGUUGUUCGGAAUCACUGGGCUUAAAGGGCGCGUAGGCGGGCCUUCAAGUCCGGGGUGAAAUCUUUCGGCUCAACCGGAAAAGUGCCUUGGAUACUGGUGGUCUUGAGUGAGGUAGGGGCAUGGGGAACUUCCGGUGGAGCGGUGAAAUGCGUUGAUAUCGGAAGGAACUCCGGUGGCGAAAGCGACGUGCUGGACCUCUUCUGACGCUGAGGCGCGAAAGCUAGGGGAGCGAACGGG